AUUCCUACGGGAGGCAGCAGUGGGGAAUAUUGGUCAAUGGGCGCAAGCCUGAACCAGCCAUGCCGCGUGAAGGAUGACGGCCCUAUGGGUUGUAAACUUCUUUUGUACGGGAAAAAACCACAGGUCGUGAAUCUGUGCUGAUGGUACCGUAAGAAUAAGCAUCGGCUAACUCCGUGCCAGCAGCCGCGGUAAUACGGAGGAUGCAAGCGUUAUCCGGAUUCAUUGGGUUUAAAGGGUGCGCAGGCGGAAAAGUAAGUCAGUGGUGAAAUCCUACAGCUUAACUGUAGAACUGCCAUUGAUACUGUUUUUCUUGAGUGUUGUUGAGGUAGGCGGAAUGUGUCAUGUAGCGGUGAAAUGCUUAGAUAUGACACAGAACACCGAUCGCGAAGGCAGCUUACCAAGCAACAACUGACGCUCAUGCACGAAAGCGUGGGGAUCAAACAGGAUUAGAUACCCUGGUAGUCCACGCCGUAAACGAUGAUCACUCGAUGUUGGCGAUACACAGUCAGCGUCUUAGGGAAACUAUUAAGUGAUCCACCUGGGGAGUACGGUCGCAAGAUUGAAACUCAAAGGAAUUGACGGGGGCCCGCACAAGCGGAGGAGCAUGUGGUUUAAUUCGAUGAUACGCGAGGAACCUUACCUGGGCUCGAACGUGGAAUGACAGUCGCGGAAACGUGAUGUUCUUCGGACAUUCUACGAGGUGCUGCAUGGUUGUCGUCAGCUCGUGCCGUGAGGUGUCGGGUUAAGUCCCAUAACGAGCGCAACCCCUAUCUUUAGUUGCCAUCAGGUCAAGCUGGGGACUCUAAAGAAACUGCCUACGCAAGUAGUGAGGAAGGCGGGGAUGACGUCAAAUCAGCACGGCCCUUACGUCCAGGGCUACACACGUGCUACAAUGGCCGGUACAGAGGGCAGCUACUGGGUGACCAGAUGCAAAUCUCCAAAGCCGGUCUCAGUUCGGAUCGAAGUCUGAAACUCGACUUCGUGAAGUUGGAUUCGCUAGUAAUCGCGCAUCAGCCAUGGCGCGGUGAAUACGUUCCCGGGCCUUGUACACACCGCC
rnacentral:rRNA from 1 species